rnacentral:rRNA from 1 species
GACGAACGCUGGCGGCGUGCCUAAUACAUGCAAGUAGAACGCACAGUUUAUACCGUAGCUUGCUACACCAUAAACUGUGAGUUGCGAACGGGUGAGUAACGCGUAGGUAACCUGCCUGGUAGCGGGGGAUAACUAUUGGAAACGAUAGCUAAUACCGCAUAAUAUUAAUUAUUGCAUGAUAAUUGAUUGAAAGAUGCAAUUGCAUCACUACCAGAUGGACCUGCGUUGUAUUAGCUAGUAGGUGAGGUAACGGCUCACCUAGGCGACGAUACAUAGCCGACCUGAGAGGGUGAUCGGCCACACUGGGACUGAGACACGGCCCAGACUCCUACGGGAGGCGGCAGUAGGGAAUCUUCGGCAAUGGACGAAAGUCUAACCGAGCAACGCCGAGUGAGUGAAGAAGGUUUUCGGAUCGUAAAGCUCUGUUGUAAGGGAAGAACGGGUGUGAGAGUGGAAAGUUCACACUGUGACGGUAUCUUACCAGAAAGGGACGGCUAACUACGUG